AUAACCUGGGUUACAGACUUACAGAGAUAGUGAGUUAUAGUUCUGGAUUUUUCUAUUUGCUUUGUGAAGGACAGAUCUAUAACCUGGGUUACAGACUUACAGAGAUAGUGAGUUAUAGUUCUGGAUUUUUCUAUUUGCUUUGUGAAGGACAGGUAGGGAUUUAGAAUUUUGAUAUCUUGCUUAUUUAGUAAUACAACCACAAGACCGGGAAAGUCAGGUA